UUGUUAAAAUUUAUUCGAAAUAUAAGGAAGACGAUUUUUCCGACUCAAAUGCCGUAGACUUUUCCCUAGACGUAUGCGUACUCAAGAUCUAUUUCCUCCACGUAGUGCCCGCAUGUCAAACCCCGCUUCUUCUCCCCCCCCCUUUCUACAGAUCCCAGCCCCAGCAGUCAGCUAUGAAAACUCAAGACAUUAACAACUCCGUCUCAACCCUGGCUCCUCCAUGAUGAUGAUUCAGAUACAGAACCAACAACAGAAGACACUGCUUACACCUAGCUCCGCGCUCCACAAAGUUCCAGAGAUCCGGGCGGAACCAGACUUCCUUCCAUUAUCCUGUAUACAGGAUAAGUCCGCAAUCUCUCCCUCCCACAGGAGAAGGUAACAAUAGUUCGCUCCGCAAUGUUCCAGAGAUCCGGGCGGAACCAGACUUCCUUCCAUUAUCCUGUAUACAGGAUAAGUCCGCAAUCUCUCCCUCCCACAGGAGAAGGUAACAAUAGUUCGCUCCGCAAUGUUCCAGAGAUCCGGGCGGAACCAGACUUCCUUCCAUUAUCCUGUAUACAGGAUAAGUCCGCAAUCUCUCCCUCCCACAGGAGAAGACUAAGCCUAGUUGUGAGUAAGCCUGCCGUCAAGAUUGAUGAUCUGCACCACCAUCAUGAAGUUCUA